rnacentral:rRNA from 1 species
AUAGCUAAAUUAGAAAAGCAUUUCACUUACACCGAAAAGUUAUCCGCGCAAAUCGGAUUACUCUGACACUCAAAAGCUAGCAUAAAAUUAAUAUUCAACACAUAAACCUUAAUUCAUAUUAACACACUAAAAAAUAUAAUUAAACCAUUCUCCAAAUCUUAGUAUAGGUGAUAGAAAAGGAAAAUUUAGCUAUAGAUUAAGUACCGCAAGGGAAUGCUGAAAGAGAAAUGAAACAACACAGUAAAGUAAAGUAAAGCAGAGAUUAGAACUCGUACCUUUUGCAUCAUGAUUUAGCAAGAAUUAAUAAGCAAAAUGUUUUCUAGUUUUUAACCCCGAAACUAAGUGAGCUACUCCAAGACAGCCUAAGUAAUAGGGCAAACACGUCUCUGUAGCAAAAGAGUGUGAAGAUCUUUGAGUAGAGGUGACAGACCUACCGAACUUAGUCAUAGCUGGUUGUCUGAGAAUUAAAUAUAAGUUUAGCCUUUUAUUUUUUUAAAUUUAAUUCUGAUUAAUCAUAAGAACAAUAAAAGAAUAUAAAAGAGUUAUUCAUAAGGGGUUCAGCCCUUAUGAAAAAGGAUACAACCUUAAUAGGCGACUAAUGAACAUAUCUUUUAAAGUUAAUGUUUUAGUGGACUUAAAAGCAGCCACCUAAGAAAAAAGCGUUAAAGC